CUUCUCAACACCCAAACCCACCCUCAGACCAGCUACGGGAGGAGCACUCUGAUUUCUGAGCAUACGGCUCUUUUACAGAGAGUGCUGAGCAAUUUAUUUAUUUAUUUUUUUCAGCCCCGUGCGAAUCUUCAUCUUUCCCUCGUUCGAGAUAUAAGGCAGUGCAGUGGGCAAGAGAUUCCUCCACUGCGAUUUUUCUUGGGAAAAUCUUGCUUUUCAAGAAUUUCAUUAUCAAAAACAGUCGCACUCGGUUUGUCUGGUGCAGUCCAAAAUCAUCUAUAAAUUGAAAAUGACGAAACUAAGGUCACCUACCACUACCAGUGUCUGCAAUCUCCGCCCCUAACUCGACGCAUAAACGCCGCUUGCCUUUGUGGUGGCUUCGAACAGAACACACGGUCCUUCAAGGUAACCAUGCUUGCAGAGUCCUCCAUAACUAAUUUCAUUUCCUGGGUUAAUUUCUAUUUUUCGAAAUUGAUCACUCCAAUAAAGUUUCAUCUUGUUUUCAUAUCUGUUUUAUAUAUCCUCUGAAUUUUUGACACUGUACAUUGAUGCCAAAGAAGAUUGAAAGUAUAUGUCUUUUCACUGUAUGUAUGCCAGAUAUUUUGCCCAUUUUUACACAGUUAGCGCUCUUGAUGAUUAUGUAUGCUUUUCCGAAUUUUCCAUAGACUAAGUUGGUUUAUUUAUUUGAUAUAAUGUUAUAGUUCAUGCGGCUUGCGGCAUCAUUAUUUGUUUCCAAGUUAGUCUCUGUUUUAUCUUUGUGCUUGGGUGACAAAUGGAUGAGCUUUAUUAAAUAUGCUCAUGCUAGUUGAAGCUUAUAGGGCCUUUGUAGAUUUGGAAACGAUUCCCUUUUUCCUUUCGUAGCAUUUGGAAUUAGGGUAUUCCAUUUGUUUUAGCCUUUUAGUUGAGUCUCUCCGUUAUCCGUCGUCCUUUGAUAUAGAUGGGAUUACAGUGUAACACUUGAAUCUUUGAACUUUUUUUUGUUUUGAGCAAAAGGUAGGAGUUACACUUGAAUGUAACGUGGUCCAUUAAUGUUCAUAGGCAAAUGUCUUUUCUUUUGUUUAAAUUUGAUUUUAUUAUUAAGUAUUAUCUGUUUGAUAAGCCUGCCAUCCAUACGUGUUCAUAGGAAUAUUUGCAGCGCAGUGCAGUCAUAUUAUGACUUCACUCCACCUUAGUGAUUAUCUGAUAAUAUUUUCUGUAAUGUAUCUUUCAUGUUAGGAACUCUAGCACUUUCACCAUGUUACCAUUAUUAUAAUCUAUACAUAAUUUACUCUUUUAGGUCCAAGGCGCAAAGUUUUUUCAAGCAUUAUACCUUCAUAAUUGACAGCAGCCUUUCAUUAUUACCUUCACAGUUACUUUUCCCCCCUCUUUUCCACCCUAUCAUAUCAAUAUUCUGUAUGUAAAGAGAUCCAUUCACUGUCUCUGGUUAAAAACAAAUGUGUAAAUAUUUGUUCAAAAUUUUCCAUAAUUCAUAUGCUGGUGCUAAAUGAAUCUUUCAUGGAGCAACAAUCUGAUUGGUUGACUAUUGAAAAGGUCACAAGUGACCAUGGGUACUUCUUCCAAAAUUAUAUCACAUUCCAACAUUCCAAUCUCUAUUUGCAUUUUCUUUUUUUUUUUGAUGAAUAUCUCUAUUUGCAUUUUCUUUUCAGUUUGGGAAGAAUAUUUUGUUCUUUGAUCGGUCAGAUUGGGCAAAAUCUUGUUUAUAUUCUGGUUGAUGGUUUGAAAGUGCUCUAAAGACAAAGUAAAAGUAUCCUACAAGUGUCAUCACUUUUGACACUCAUAUACAUACACAGACUUGUUAAAGCUCCUCUGUAAUUAAAACACUUCAAUACAAAAUUUGUUACAAGCCUAUAAUAGCUUACUGCUCAGCCACCCAUUCACAUCACAUGUACCAAGUAAUUUAAUCUUCACAUGAUGAGUUAGUUUAAAACUAACUCAUAUGUACAGUGCUUAUGGCGUGUGCAAUCACAACCUGUAAUGUUGACAUACUUUGAUGAACUAUCUUCAUUAUUAAUUGUUGAGUUGUGUUUCCGUUAUAAGUGAUUAUCUUUUAUACAAUUUAAUCUUAUCCCCUUUAAGUGCAUCCACACCAAUCCCUUGAAAGUCCUUUUGUUGAUGGAUUUUUCAAAUUUAGUAAUCAGUGAUAACUACUUCAUAAGAAUUCAUUAUUAAAGUUAAUGGAAGCAUAGAAAAAGACGGUCAACAAAGAUCUACACAAAUCUGGACAAACAGACAAGUUUGCAUUAAUGGUUAUAGUUGAUGCUUUGAUUUUAAGCAAAAAUGGUAGCUUGCAUAAUACUUGCUAUACUAGGCAAUAAUCCAUAUGCUUCUUUUGGAGAUUAAUCAAUUAAUGUAAACUACAUGAUUAUCAACUGAAAAACGUAGCAAAAAAGAUCUACACAAAUCUGUGUUUGCAGCAAAGAAUUGCCCAGUAUAAACCUUUUCUAAAAUGUGUUAUACUGUGCAAUAAUUUGUGAGGUGCUCUUACCUGUGGUGCUAGUUGGUGUGUUCUGAAAUGCUUGUCCUUUUUUGUCUUUAUAACAUUACUGUCUACACUACUCCCGCCUAAUUCACCCUCCCCAAGUAUGGCCCAGUUUCAUUGCUGUUUAAGUUUUCAUUUCCUCAUCUAUUCUAAUGCAUGCAAUUAUAUAUUAGUUGCUCUGGAAUUCUUGAUAUAAUAAGAGCGUAUUUGAUCCAACCUGCAAUAUCUUGUUGUUUGUAUUUUUUUACUUAUAUUACACACAAUAUCUUGCAUAUGUGUAUUAUGUGCUUUCUUAGCUAAUUCACAUGGAUGAUCCGGAAAAUACAAACAUUGAUUGUGACCUAUGGGCGGAUGGAAUGGAGAACAUUUUCAUUGAGAUGUUGUAUGGGGAUGUCCUUAUUGGAGCACUAAGGGCAGGGAAUAUCACAUCUAGGGACCAUACAAUGUAUGCUCAAUGGCUUACAUCAGUGGGUACAAGGGGGUAUAUGAUGGUGAUCAAGUGAAAAGCAAACUACAAAGGUUGAAGUUGAGGCAACCCCUUUUCAUUGACCUUAUGAGCCAAACUGGUAUGGCUUGGGACCCUGACAACAAAAUGGUGAUAGCCAAUGACAAACACUGGGCAAAUGCCCUUAGGGCGAAAUCACAAUAGAAGAUGUUCUGGACCUUGGGUCGCCCAAUGUAUGAGAAGCUCUACACCAUUUCUGGGGCAUCAAUUGCUACUGAUACACUCCACCACACGUCAACGCAAUCACCCUCAGAUAGUGACGACGAGUGUGCACUUGAUGCGGAGAUGCGACAUUGGGGCCCCACAUUGGGCAAUCGACAUGGAUUGCCCAUUGACUUUGCUGACAUGGAUUUCUCCAUGGGAUUCGAGAUACCACCAUCCACUGCGUCGAGGCGAAGCCAACGUCGAUGACAAAGGGCGAGGCCCUCCAUGCAGGUGGAUGCAAACAUCUCUAACUGCCUCAAUGAGUGGGCCCAUAUUGCAAUAUUGAGGCGGAAGUACUAUGAGGAGAGGGAAUCGAACAACGUUGUAGAGGAUGGAAGUGAUGAUUGAUCAGCAAUGAAUAUGGCAGAGAGAAGCUCUGACUUACCUAUGAGUUCUAGUGGUGAUUAAUUUGAAUAUGAGAUGAUCGAUGACAGUGGAGGAAUAGGUAGGAAUGUUUUUCAUUUUGGUGGGCCAUGCACAAGGACAACGCAUUGUGAGAGACCGGUUUCAACAUUCAAGUCAAACUACUAAUCGCUAUAUGAGGGCAGUGAUACGGGUGUUGUGUGAGCUUUGGAGACAUUAUUGCGCCAACAUAUAAUGGGAGGGUACAUCCUUAUAUUGCAAGCAACUCCCGAACGAUGCCUUGAUGCGAUGGAUGUCGCCAUGAUGGUUGUGAUAGUACCAGCUGAUAUACAUGAGACAUAUCGAAACCAGCCUGGGCAAAUUGCCAAAAAACCUGUUGUGUAGAUGUAACUUCGAUAUGAAGUUUAUAUUUGUGUACACGGGAUGAGAGGGAAUGACUCAUGAUGUUCGUGUCUUCUUGACUGCCUUGAGUGAACCGACAACCCAAUUCCCAUGGCUGCCCGAGGGUUGCCAUCUGACACGCACAUGAAUGGACUGCAUGAAAUGAGUAUGGCAUGGAGUCCAGGGACAAGACGAGUAGUACGCGUCAGGACAGACACGACCCAAGGGGAAGAGGACGGAAGCCUAGGUAUAGUGUUUUGUAUGAAAGACUUUUAAUUAUAAAGUUUAAUAUUUUCCACUAUAAUUCUCUUUAACUUAUGAAACACGCUUUAUUUUAUAAACAUUGAGUUUUUUGUAUCCUAGCACGAAAGGAAAAGUUGUUUUAAAAUGAAUGGUAAUUCCCAUCGUCUUUCCUAAAGUCAUUUUCUAAAGGUCCCACCACAAGGACGAGCGUUACAUCGAGGUAAGUUAACUCUUAACUUACUAUCAAUUUAUUGUGUAUGUGUGAUGGGUAAGAAAACUAUAGUUUAUGUUCGUAUGUUGUUAUAUAUGUCAUACCAUGCCAUGUCAUCACAUGUUUAUCUAUUAUACGAAUUAUUCUAGCAUGAAAUACUUAUCUGUUACAUAAUAUAUUCUGUCACAUGUUGCUAUCUAUUACGAGUGUGUCACAUUAUGUAUGCUCUGUUACAUGUAUGUCAUGUCACGUAAUAUUCACUGUCACAUGUUAUGCCAUGUUACAAAAUAUUGUCUGUCACAUGUUAUGCCAUGUUAUGAAUUGUUGUCUAUUAUAAGUUAUGCAAUGUUAUGAAAUAUUGUCUGUUAAAUGUAUGUCAUGUUAUGAAAUGUUGUUUGUUAUAUUUAUGUCUCAAAGUAUGUCAUGUCUGUAGUCUUACGUUCAUGUCAUGUUACGCUAGAUCAGGACUUCUAUCAUUUCGUAUUCAUGUCACGUCCCGUCUUGAAUAUAGUUUGUGUACCUCGAGAACAGUCUUGUUAAGUUAGUCACGUCAAUCAUGACCCUAAGUGCUAGGAUGAGAUAAUAUCUUAGUGGAAUUCCUUUAUUCAUGCUAGAGUGUCUAAAUAGGUGUGAAAUUUCCUAGGUUGACGAAGUGGAGUCAAUAGGUUGCAAAUGGGGCAUAACUGGCUGGUCACCGGAGCACACCAGACACUAGCACUGAUGGAGCCAUUUUUUUUUAUUUUACGUGUGUUUACAACACUUGUGGCACAAACAAUUCAUAGGGCCACAACAACUAUGGAGCAUGAAGUAUGGGGUCACAAUAACUGUGGAGUAUACACUACGUGAGACACAGCAAUUGUGACAUGUAGAAUACGUGAGACCACAACAACUAUGGAGUAUGUAUUAACAGACUCACAGUUGGUGUAGAAACCUGUGUUGUGAUGUGGUAAUCAGUAGGGACACAUGGCUUAAGGGGACUGGUGUAGCACCCAUAUGGCCACUUUAUUAAUUAAGUCUAUUGAACAAGAUUUCAAGUUAUGUCUCAUGUUAUGUUAUGUUUAAGUUUACGUUCAUGUCAAGCUUCAAGAUCACGUCCAUGUUAUGUAUCAAGUUCAUGUCACGUCAACCCAAGUUUUAGUUUCAAUUCAAGUUAUAUCAUCUCACGCCAUGUUACGUCAAGUCACGUUAUGCUUAUUAUUUCAUGCCAUGUUAUGUCAAAUUAUGUUAUGCUUACUAUUGACUUUGAUUGUGCAUUCAUGCUUUUACUGUCAUGCAUGCAUCUUUAACUUGUGUGAGAGUUUCCUAUUAACUUGUUGAGAUUUAUAAUCAAAUCUCACCGUGGUAGUCCCAACUACCAUUUCUCCCAAAUGGUAGGCGAUGUGUCAGGAACAGAACAGGGAGUUGACAUGGGCAGACUGGAGGAGGUUGACUAGACACUGCAUACGCGACGUGGAGCUUAUAGCCUCCAUAGUUAGGUUUUUGGAUUGUAUUUUGGUCUCGUUGGUCGAGUUACGCUAGUUACUAGAUGAACUAGCCCAAUAAUGAAUUUUUGUAAUGUAAUAUGGACCUCAAUCUCCCAUGUUUUGGAGAUUACAGUCUUCUGAGACUCGUACUGUGAUCAUGGAUGUUUAUUUUGUUAAGUAUGCAUAGAUUACAUUUUAACUA